rnacentral:rRNA from 1 species
GACGAACGCUGGCGGCGUGCUUAACACAUGCAAGUCGAACGGAAAGGCCCUGCUUUUGUGGGGUGCUCGAGUGGCGAACGGGUGAGUAACACGUGAGUAACCUGCCCUUGACUUUGGGAUAACUUCAGGAAACUGGGGCUAAUACCGGAUAGGAGCUCCUGCUGCAUGGUGGGGGUUGGAAAGUUUCGGCGGUUGGGGAUGGACUCGCGGCUUAUCAGCUUGUUGGUGGGGUAGUUGCUUACCAAGGCUUUGACGGGUAGCCGGCCUGAGAGGGUCACCGGCGACAUUGGGACUGAGAUACGGCCCAGUCGCGUACGGGAGGCAGCAGUGGGGAAUAUUGCACAAUGGGCGGAAGCCUGAUGCGACAACGCCGCGUGCGGGAUGACGUCCUUCGGGUUGUAAACCGCUUUCGCCUGUGCCGAAGCGUGAGUGACGGUAAUGGGUAAAGAAGCACCGGCUAACUACGUG